GAUGAACGCUGGCGGCGUGCCUAAUACAUGCAAGUCGAGCGAACAGACGAGGAGCUUGCUCCUCUGACGUUAGCGGCUGACGGGUGAGUAACACGUGGAUAACCUAUCUAUAAGACUGGGAUAACUUCGGGAAACCGGAGCUCAUAACGGAUAAUAUAUUGAACCGCAUGGUUCAAUAGUGAAAGCCGGUUUUGCUGUCACUUAUCGAUGGAUCCGCGCCGCAUUAGCUAGUUGGUAAGGUAACGACUUACCAAGGCAACGAUGCGUAGCCGACCUGAGAGGGUAAUCGGCCACACUGGAACUGAGACACGCUCCAGACUCCUACGGGAGGCAGCAGUAGGGAAUCUUCCGCAAUGGGCGAAAGCCUGACGGAGCAACGCCGCGUGAGUGAUGAAGGUCUUCGGAUCGUAAAACUCUGUUAUUAGGGAAGAACAAAUGUGUAAGUAACUAUGCACGGCUUGACGGUACCUAAUCAGAAAGCCACGGCUAACUACGUG
rnacentral:rRNA from 1 species